UACAGAGGUCUCAAGCGUUGUUCGGAUUCAUUUGGGCGUAAAGGGUGCGUAGGCGGCGCGGUAAGUCGGGUGUGAAAUCUCGGAGCUUAACUCCGAAACUGCAUUUCGAUACUGCCGUGCUUGAGGACUGGAGAGGAGACUGGAAUUCCGGGUGUAGCGGUGGAAUGCGUAGAUAUCCGGAAGAACACCUGAGGCGAAGGCGGCUUGCUGGGCAUGAUCUGACGCUGAGGCGCGAAAGCGUGGGGAGCAAACAGG
rnacentral:rRNA from 1 species